rnacentral:rRNA from 1 species
UACGUAGGGUGCGAGCGUUGUCCGGAAUUAUUGGGCGUAAAGGGCUCGUAGGCGGUCUGUUGCGUCAGGAGUGAAAACUCGGGGCUUAACCCCGAGCCUGCUUCUGAUACGGGCAGACUAGAGGUAUGCAGGGGAGAACGGAAUUCCUGGUGUAGCGGUGAAAUGCGUAGAUAUCUGGAGGAACACCGGUGGCGAAGGCGGCGUUCUGGACUGCAACUGACACUGAGGAACGAAAGCCAGGGGAGCAAACGGG